CGGUUCGCCCGUUGCCGACGGCUGAGAGCACGCAGCCAGUUCCCCUUCUCGCUCUGCUCUGCUCAGUCAGGAAUUCGGCUCUGCCCGCCACCCGGGUCUCGGAAACGUUCUGGCUGGGAAUCAAGUCCAAGAUGAAACACCUGCCUUCCACUGCCGUCCCACACGCACAAUGCACCACAUGCCAGUUGGCAGUGGAGCGAAAGAGGCCCAUUAAAGAAAAGUUCCUGACAUUAUUAAGAAGUGCAGUCCUGCCAUUGUGCGUGCAUGCUCUCUCUCUCUCUCACACACGCUCUCUCUCUCACACACACACACGCACUCUACAGGCCUCUAAAGCUUUGUGCAUGUCCCAUGUCCCUGGCUACUUCACUGUCAAUCAAACACUGAAUAAGAGAGAGAGCCCUCUCCUCUGUGGAUAACAGGUGUUCUUCUAAGAGGGAGACGGGAGGAUCAGACAGAGAGAAGGAGAUGUGACCACGGAAGAAGAGGAUGGAGCCAUGUUGGGCCACAAGCCAAGGAAUACAGGAAGCUUCUAGAAGCUGGAAAAGGCAAGGAAAUGGAUUAUCCACUAGAGCCUCCAGAAGGAAUGCCGGCCCACCGACACCUUGAUCUUAGCCCAGGAAAACUGAUUUGGGACGUCUGACCUCCAAAACUAGGCUGGGCUAGCCUUACUACACAUGGAGGAGGUCGGGUGGCACUCAGGAUGCUGAAAGAACAAGAAAUAUGGCACUAAAACUAGAAGUGGAUUAUGCUACUUAACGGCUGAAAACUGAGGACUGGAAACUUGUAUCUCUACCUUCGAUCUGUGUUGUCAAGCAUUGAUCACUUGAAAUGCGGCUAGUGCAGCUGAAGACUGGAUUUUCAAUUCUGUUUAUUUUAUGAAAUUUAAGCUUAAAUCUUAAAAUGAUACACACUUGACUUAUUGGGAAGCUUUUAAGUAUUUUAGAACAACUUGGCCACAUGAAUCUACUUUUUCAAUUGUACGUUUUAUAAAAUCUAAAUACAGAUUAAGCAUUUCUGAUAAAAAUUUAGCGUCUAAAUUGAGAUGUGCCAGAUUUUGAAGACUUAGUAUGAGAAAAAGAAUAACAUAUCUCA